rnacentral:misc_RNA from 1 species
AGUUGGGACACAAAUCACAAGCUACGGGCCAAGACGAGACAUUGUCUUCGUACCCAAUGCAUAUUCCGCAUCCGAGAGCUCAAGCGAGCGUUCAGGGGCCAACCAACUACAAUCGCAAUUCGAGUUAUGUGGGGACACAAACGAUGCUUCGAGGUUCACCUCCUCAAAAGCCCGUAACUAAACGGGCAGAUGCCGUGUGAAAGAUACACGAUUUGGCAACAUAAUUCCGUAUAGUAGGAAUGCAACACAGGAAACCAAUGAAAACGGGUAGCCAAGGCAAGGUGUGCUCUGCUACCAUAAAAUGAAGAGGAGCGCACA